CCGCUUUGAAAGCGGCCAAAAUAUCGUCUGCCUUUGUUCACUGCCGGUACAUUAAUGUCAAACACAUGCCUAGGAACCUUUUUCAAGCAUUAGUUUCAGUCGUGUCCGACCAGAGACAACACCGCUUCCUUUUCCGGACCGUGAUAUUCAAGAUGAAAGCCACGUCGAAGUCCUGCGCACCAACUUGACUAAUUCAUUCAAUUCAAGAAAUACAAAUGAAUGCAGCAGCUUUUUACGCAAAGCUAGCACACCGGGCCAAACCACCUCCUGUUGAGAGUGCUCUCAGUGAGAGUGAGGGCAGCGAUGAGGAGUACAAUCCUAAUAAAGCAAGUGAAGGUGAUGAAAGCAGCAGCAAUGACUCUACAGUGGACAUUAGCAGCAGUGAGGAAGAUGAUGAUGAUCCGCCUCAUCCACCUCCAACCACCAGUGCUGCACCUGCAAGACCUGCAAGAGCUACAUCAAGGGCAGAUCGAGCCUAAAGCAAUAUAUCCCAAAAAAAGCCAUACAAAUUGGGAUACAAGAUUUUUGUACUGUGCGACACAAGAGGUCUGGUGCACUCAUUUGACAUAUUCACAGGGAAAAUAGAUCCAGUACCAGGCCAACCAGAC